rnacentral:tRNA from 1 species
GCCUGGCUGGCUCUGUCCAUAGAGCAUGUGACUCUUGAUCUUGAGGUUGUGGGUUCGAGCCCCAUACUGGGUG